rnacentral:rRNA from 1 species
UGGGGAAUAUUGCGCAAUGGGGGAAACCCUGACGCAGCAACGCCGCGUGAAGGAUGAAGGUUUUCGGAUUGUAAACUUCUUUGAUGAGGGACGAACACAAUGACGGUACCUCAAAAACAAGCCACGGCUAACUACGUGCCAGCAGCCGCGGUAAUACGUAGGUGGCGAGCGUUGUCCGGAAUUACUGGGUGUAAAGGGCGUGUAGGCGGGAAAGCAAGUUGAAUGUGAAAUACCGUGGCUCAACUACGGGGCUGCGUUCAAAACUGUUUUUCUUGAGUACAGCAGAGGCAAGCGGAAUUCCCAGUGUAGCGGUAAUAUGCGUAGAUAUUGGGAGGAACACCGGUGGCGAAGGCGGCUUGCUGGGCUGCAACUGACGCUGAAGCACGAAAGUGUGGGGAGCAAACAGG